ensembl:lncRNA
AAAACAAGAGUUCAAAGUUAAGUCUAUCUGGCUUCGAAUUCCAUUCUCUUUCCAGUUUGCUGCUACUGCUGCUGCUAAGUCGCUUCAGUCGUGUUCGACUGUGUGCUGCCCCAUGGACUGCAGCCCACCAGGCUCCUCCAUCCGUGGGAUUUUCCAGGCAACAGUCCUUACGUCUCCUCAAAUAUCACGUCAGACGGUGAGCAAGUGGAGCUGAAUCCAGUUCACGUGGAGAAGGGGUGAAGCUGAGAAGUCCAGUCGCUCAGUUGUGUUUGACUCUCUGUGACCCCAUGGACUGCAGCACGCCAGGCCUCCCAACCCAUCGCCAACUCCCAGAGCUGGCUGAAACUCGUUUGAAGCUGAGAAGACUACUCUCUGCAAUCAAUAAACACCAUAAAUGUAGGAUUCUUGUGAAAGUGAGAGAGCCUACACAAAAAAUUCCUCUUCAAAACACUGAUAUGAAAUACUGCCUGAGGAGCUUCCCAGGCUUUUAGUUGGAGACUUCAACUGAAGAGAAAGACACACGCGCAGAGGGAAGGACAGCAUAAGAUGGAAGUUAUGUAUAACGUCAUCUCGGAAGAAAGGUAUCAUCAUUUCCGCCACAUUCUGUCAGUCUCCAGAGCAUCCUUGCAGGACCAGGGCCUGAGAUGCAGGGCGGCAGUGAAGAGCAGCGCAGGGUGGG